rnacentral:tRNA from 1 species
UGCAUCAGCCAGGAAUCGAACCCGGGCCACCCGCGUGGCAGGCGAGCAUUCUACCACUGAACCACCAAUGC